AACGAACGCUGGCGGCGCGGUUUUAAGCAUGCAAGUCGAACGGUAGACGGGUGCUUGCACCCUUUGAGAGUGGCGAACGGGUGAGUAACACGUAGGUGAUCUACCUAGAAGUUGGGGAUAGCCUGUGGAAACACAGGGUAAUACCGAAUGAGACCAUGUACAUGGUGGAAUAGGCUAAAGGCUCGUUUUUACUUGAUUGUGCGUGUCACUGCCUAUCUGUAGGUAUAACGGACUACCAAGGCCACCAUGAGUAACCAGGCUGAGACGACGAGCGGUCACGCUGGGACUGACAGACGGUGCAAACUCCUACGGAAGGCUACAGCUAAGAAUCUUCCGCAAUGUUCGAAAGGGUGACGGAGCGACACCGCGUGAACCAACAAGGACGAAAAGUCGUAGAGUCCUUUUCUCAUAUUAUAACAAAGUGGAGAGGGAAUGCCCUACAGAGGACGUUAGCUGAGGAAGACUGCCCGGCUAAUUACGUGUCAGUAGCCGCGGUAACACGUAAGGGGCCAGCGUUGUUCGGAAUUAUUGGGAGUUAUGGGCGCGUAGGCGGCUGAACACGCCUGAUGUGAAAUGCCGCAGCUUAACUGUGCUAAUGUGCUGGAAAGUGCUUGGAUGUGGUUCAGGAGGGGAAUCUGGAAUUCCUGGUGUAUCCUGGAGAUCUGUAGAUAUCAGGAAGAACUCCUGUGGAGAACGGUAGAUUCUGGCCAUGUACUGACGCUGACGGACGAAGGAGUGCGGAGCGAAGAGGAUUAGAUACCCUGAUAGUCCCGCUGUACCGAUGUGCACUAGGUGGUGGCUGGUGUAGCGUGCAGAGCCGAUCAGGCGUGAUAAGUGCACCGCCCUGGGGAGUAUGGUCGCAAGGGUGAAACUCAAAGGAAUUGGCGGGGGCCCGCACCAACGGUGGAGCAAGUGGUUUAAUUUGAUGAUUCGCGAGGAACCUUUCCCGGGCCUGACAUAUAGCAAGGCGGUUGUAGAGAUUCGGCUUUCCUUCGGGGCGUGCAUACCGGUUCUGCAAGGUUGUUGUCAACUCGUGCUGUGAGGUGGUGGGUUAAGUUCCGCAACGAACGCCACCCCUGCUGUUUGUUACCAGCCAGUAAAGAUGGGGACUCAGACGGUACUGCCGGUGACAAACCGGAGGAAGGUGGGGAUGACGUCAAAUCAUCAUGGCCCUUAUGUCCUGGGCUACACACGUGCUACAAUGGUCGGUACAGAGCGAGGCAAAACCGCGAGGUGGAGCAAAUCGCAGAAAGCCGGUCUCAGUACGGAUUGGAGUCUGAAACCCGACUUCAUGAGGUUGGAAUCGCUAGUAAUCGCGCAUCAGCAUGGCGCGGUGAAUACGUUCCCGGGCC
rnacentral:rRNA from 1 species